rnacentral:lncRNA from 1 species
GCAUAUGAAAGAUGAACGAAAUGAGACACUGUAUAAAAUGAAGGUCACCAGGUUUGGGAAAGCGUGGCAGUCCACAGUGAGGGGAGGGUUAGUAUUAAUGUGUUUUAGGCGCCGGACGCCCACUAGGCAUGCAGUGGAGUGGGGGAGGCUGCCUUUUGGGGGUAUGGGUAAGUGGUUUUAGAAAUGACAUGGAAUAGUCAGGAUUCUUACUUUGGGUCCAGGAAGAUUUCAGGUAGUUGAAUUCUCAGGAAAAAAAAACAACACAACAAACUAAAACAAUCAAAAAAGAAACCCAAAUAACCAUAUCCCAAAGUAAUAAAUAAUAAAAUGACUAGCAAAGUUACAUUUGAAAGGCACGUGUUAAUGGAAUGACUCUCAAUAGUGUGUGGGUUUUUGUUUGUUUGUUUGUUUGUUUGUUUCCUUGUUUGUUUUGAUUGUUGUUCCUUUCAGAGAGGUUCUCACUUUGUAGGUCUUAUAGGCCUGGCACUAACUCAGUAUGCAGAUGCAUCUGGUCUUGACCUCAUAGAGAUCUACCUACCUCUGCCUCCUGGGUGCUGUACACUUGGUGUCUCUCAAUAUUUUAUUAGCAUCAUUUUACAUGUGCUUCAGAAUAAAUGCACCUACUAAAGUAGGGCCCUGAAAUCAACGUGCUGCAAAGACAGAGAUGGAAAUCAGUGAUAAAUAAGGCAAUUUUUUCCCAAUAUUUAGUGGCAGGUCUUUAUUAUUGUUUACCAGUUGGGAAAGUAACAGAUAAAUGUAGAAGAGGGAGAGGAAGGAAUGAAAUCCUGACCCAGAAUGAUGACAGUGCCUGAGUAUCUGUACCAUGAGUAAUGAAUAAUUCAUGUCAGAAAAAUCUGGUUUAGUUCAGACAGAGAUUGUUGUAUUAGCUUUGCUGGGACUAAUCCUGUGGAGACGUCAGCUAUCCCAAAUGUCGUGUGCUUUGGGGUUUGGUGCUUCAUGAAUUUUGAUUGUUAUUAUAAGAAAAAUCAGUGACCAAAUUUACACUUUGAUUACAUAAAAAAAACAGGAUGAAGGAAUAGUAAGAAAUAUUAUUAAUAUAACUUGCAAAUACUGAAGUCCCUGUAUCAGUGGUUCUGGGGAGCUUUCUUAUUUCCCAGAGAUGCAAAGACAGGUGGGCAUCCUAGCCAGUCCUGUUGUUCUGAGUCAGUCAUUUGGACCCUGGUGGUAGUGGUGGUUGUUGUCGCAAUACUGAGGCUUUACACAUUAAUUCUUUUCUUCCUAUGGGUUGGUAUUAAAUCCCAGAUUGUUCUUUUGCUUAGGAGAAAAUUAACGAGUUAUAAAAUGUUAAUAAAUGUGUGCAUUGGAGGAUCGAGACAGGAAAAUCCCCUAGUGCUUUGCUUCAUCACCUCAGUGCCUUGGUUUCAGAGCUUUGUGGCUUCUUCCUUGGCACAGGCUCAGUGGACGCCAUAUUCUUAGCACAAGUGUAGAGGUCGGGUAGCCAACACUCUCUGUGUAGUUUGUUUGGUUUGUCUCCUGGUUUUCACUAUAGGUUUGCACAGUCUCACACAGAGCUGAGAACUACAUUUUGCCAUGAUACCAAUGUGAACUGAAGACUUCUUGUCUUGUCUUGGGUGACCAAGUGUCUAUCAGGUUGCUAAUUAUGGCCAACUGAAUACCAAUGGUACAAAUAGGCCUUGCAUGAACAUUGUCAUUCAUAAUAUAAAUAUGGAAACCAUCAUAAAUUAAUGCAAUGGUAGGUCAAUGUUAGAAAGAGGGUCCAUUAACAGAUUAGCAAUAAUAGCUAUAAUAAUAAUAAUAGCCCCUACUUUGGGAAUGAAAUGGGUCAUAAGGCUUAUAAUUUUAAUUAUUAUUCAAUAUGAAAAGUAGAAAUGUUAUAGAAAAGAGGCCACAAUCCUGAACCAAUGGUGAUGAAUGUUGCCAUAUGAGGCAUAGACAAUGCACUCUGGGCCCAGUUUUCUGUAAUUCAUUCCAUGAGAUGGAAAGUAUUUGUUUUUAGUUUACAUGUUCAUUUAUUUCCAUCCUGUUAGUUUGAAAGCAUUGAUCCCUGCAUAGAAAUAACUUUUGUACUUUAAAGUCUUCUUUGACUAGAGAUGAGGUAGACAGUAUAAUUAAUAGCUAAUAGACAAUGUCUGGGUCAAGGAAAAAAAAAAGCAACAAAGGGCCUCCAAAUAAUGACUUCUUUCAUGGCCAUCCGAAGGAAGGAGGAGAAGCAAAACUAAAAUAGGUUAGGCCAUGUUUUAAUGAGCUGCUCUGCUUUGGUGUCCUGGGCUCGGAUGCCCUGAGCCAGGGGACGAAUCUUUCCAGGAGCUUGAGUUCCAUGGUUACGUGCAUCUUCAGAAGCACGAAAUGCUUCAUCAUAAUAACCACUGUGAUGGUUUCGGCUUUCGAAAAGCAUUAAAGUUACUGAAAUGUGCCUACGGUAAACAUUAGACUUAAAUUAUAUAUUGCACUGAGCCCUUUGUAUGAACCCCUGAGCUUGAUUUAUACAAUACAUCUGGACUCUCUGGAAGCAAUUAAUUAUAUAGGAACAUCCUAGAGAUUGUUCAAGAGUCUACUUUUCAUUACAUUUAUAUAUGUUUUUUUAUAAGAUAUGAAAUAAUCAAGAAACUAAUGUGCAGUAUAGAAAAAAAGGCCAUUCUACUUGUCACCUUACGAAGUAUACCACAUUCAAGCACCUAACUGUGACUCAGUACCCAUGGAUCCAACUUUACCACCCGUGCCUCCCUCUUUCCCACCUCACCUGUCCCUGGGAACCACCAGUCAACUCUCAUCUUGCCUGGGAUUAGUUUCAAUGCGGAUGCACUCAUGCACCUUCUAUGCACCUUCUGUGCCUGAAUUAUUCCUCUGAAUUCUAUUUAUUCUGUCUACAGUGUCUUUUUAAAAAAAAAUAGUUUAUGUCUAAAUAAGAUCUGAGGAGGGCUUAGUGCUUUAGUAGUGUGACCAUGCUCAAGUGGUUAGAUUCACAUUCACACACAUUUGGGUAACUAAUUUUAGACUGCAAAUGUUAUAUUAAAAAAAAAGAAGGAGCCAUAAAGUUGAGAGAGACACAAGGUUCAUCCCAGAGUAAGUAGGGUGUUGCUUAUGAACAAAAUAUAUUGUGUAAAUGUACGAAAUUCCCUUAGAAUAUAUCUAAAAUUUUAAAUCCAUAAUAAUAUAGAAAAAAUACUUAUCAGAAAAAGAAGCAAUAAUUUGAUUUAGAAUGCAAAGUGGCCUCUGUGUCUCUUUGGAAGCCAGGGAGGUUGGACGUGUCCAGCAUCAUCCUGAGCUUAUGAAUCAUGUUUACUGAUAUAUUUUAAUUAAUAGCUUAGAGAAAAAAUAGAAAUGCUGUAAUUAAACAGGCAAACAUGAACCAGUGAUGGUGGCUGAUGUCAAUUUGAAUAAAAUAUGCCCGGACUCUGGAAUCAAGUGCAAAAGAAAUACAGGCCAUCCCCUCAUGAGACAAUGUACUCACGAAAGAGUUGGCAACAUCCAAGGAUCUUGGUCCUGGCUUUUGGUCAAAGUUAGAUGAAUGAGCAUAUCAGUCAUUCGAUUAAUGAAAUAUUGUCUAACUACAACAAUAAAUGGACAGGCACAUUAUGAUGUGUGAGGAAACCAGUGUGGUCCAGGUCUGACCGACUGACUCUGUGACUCCCCAUUUUGUGUUUAAACAUGAUAUAGACACCAUAUGGUAAAGACCAGUGCUCUAAGAAUAUGGAAAAUUUUAAAUUCUCUUUUCUGUUCGUUAAUGUGGUUCUCAACCUGUGGGUUGCAUCCCCUUUGAGGAGGGGUCAAAUGACCUUCAUACAGGGGCUGCAUAUCAGAUUCUUUUUUGUUUGUUUGUUUUGUUUUGUUUUGUUUUUUUGAGACAGGGUUUCUCUGUGUAGCCCUGGCUGUCCUGAUACUCACUCUGUAGACUAGGCUGGCCUUGAACUCAGAAAUCUGCCUGCCACUGCCUCCCGAGUGCUAAGAUUAAAGGCGUGUGCCACCACCACCCAGCAUAUAUCAGAUGCUUUUAAUUACCAUUCAUAACAGUUAUGAAAUAGGAACAAAGUAAUUUUAUGGUUGGGUGUGUCACGAGAAGGUGUGGAACUGAAUUAAAGUGUCACAGCAUUAGGAAAAUUGAAGACCACUGCUCUAAGCUAAAGACGAAGUUAAAGUCCAAUGUUUUCUCUAAACACUUUUUUAAAUCAUGUGUUCUUUCUCCUAUUGUUCCCCAUGGUCCUGUGCGAGCGAGCUGAUGGAAUCUUAAUGGCAGAUUUCCCUCUGGUCUCUCUCUGUCGGGAUCCCGGAGGAUGAUGUAAGUAAUAUUUCUAAUUCCUUCUUUGGUUUGGGUGGUUUAUUUAGGGAGAAUGCACUGUAUUUUUACAGUUUUAGGAUGCAGACAAACUGAAGCCAUUUUUACAUUUCAGAUGAAACUGAAUACGUAAUACUGAUCACUAUUAUGCAUAAAGAGCUAAAGACAUAUUUUGACCCAGACAUUAUUCUGGAUUAUAACCAGCCAUGACCUUGUUGGUUUUUGUUUUCUUUUUUUUUUUUUCAAUCAUGGGCUUUUAGAAACAUUAUUAGUUACUGAAUAGAUUGGCUAACACAGAGGAUAAAAAUAAGUGACGGGGUAUUGGGUCUCCCUGAGAGACAAAUGUCAGGGCUGAAUGCCAUGUGAGGUCCAACAGGAUGGGUAUGCUAGUGAGCAAGGAUUAGAGGAGGUGAGUGUAGUUUUUCAGCCUCUGCUCUCAUCUCUACUCUUCAGAAUGGAGGUUUUAGAGAGAAUGGAAUCUUCUCUGGUCCUCUCCUUGGUGUUCACAUCCCUCUUCUUCAUUGUGAACAAUAGUUAAGUUUUUGGGUUUUUUUUUUUUUUUUUGGUUUGUUUGUUUGUUUUUCUGUAUUUUCCCACAGGUUGAUAGAAACAUUUAGUCAUUAUUCCAUACAUGAAGAAAUGAGCACUGUCACCAAAAGAUGUAGUGGUUGACAGGUUUAAUCUUUUGGGGACCUUCAUGCAUAUCAUUUUUCUAUUAUGUAGUUUAUAUAAUUUUCUCUCUUAAUGAAACAAUUCACAAAGCCAGAAUGUAUUGUGAAUGGAGAUACAUGCAGCACCUGAUGCCCCCGGAUUGCUGUGGCAUGUGAGGCAUGUAUGUUGAAUAUCAUAUGUCUAGAACUCUGAUCUAAAACGAAUGGGCAGGUCCUUAUUUAAAUUUGGGUCCUGUGUUCAAGUAUCCAUUUCAAGGAUCUCAUUUAAUAUCUUUGUUUUCCUUUCUGUAAAUAUUAUUGUAAAAGAAUAAAGGCAGUUUGAAUAAACGUAUGCAUAGAGAUGACAAAGGUAAAAAAUUUGCUCAUUAUCAAAAUACACAACUAGGAUAUAAGUAUUAGGAUUUCUAAUGAAGUCUCUCUAUACAGACCAGGCUGCCCUCAAACUCUCAGCCCUGCUGUGUAGUUCAGUCAAAUGCUAGACUUUUAUUCAUUAGUCACCAAACCUUUUACAAGAGAAAUUGUUCUGCACUAAAGAUGAUGCAGACAAGUCAUUGUCAAUCAUUAAACUGUAUCAAUUAUAAAUGUAAAGCUCAUUAAGAAGAGGAUGGCUAGAUAGGCUUGCAGUGAUUCUGCAGAAGGUGACGGUAAUGUCAUAGUAAUAUGAGUGGAUGCAGACACCCUCGCCACCUCCCUCUUUGUCCUCCUCAGAUGGAGGUGUUAAGCUGAGCUGGGAACUCCUUGUCUUGCUGUGUGUUUGCACUGUGAAUAGCAAUCAACAAUUUUAUUUUCCUGGUUUAAUUGAUUAAAGGUGACCAUAGUGUUAAUUAUGUUUUUAAAGUUGUAUACAGUGGAGUGGGGCUGGGGAGGUGAAGCAAUGUGAUUCGACCUGAAAGAACUAUCUUUUCUUCCCCUUACUCUGCCUGAUACCAACCAGAAAUGAUCUUGAACAAAGUGAUGCCUGCAGGAGUCUAGUUACAUACUUACUGUAUAUAAGUUUCCAGUCAAGAUAACCAUGCCUGUUCCCUCAUCAAUUCCUCAUUAUCCUGAAACUCCAUUAUCCUCUUCCCUAGCCCGUUAAGAUAUUAAGAAACUAUCAUCUAGAGUUGCUCCACAAUACAUACAUAAGGUCAACGAACUGUAACUAAGCAACUUUUCUUCAUUUUUCUCUUCUCUCUCUACCAUCUGGUAACUAUCACUCCACAGUCAACUCCCAGGAAAUGAACCCUUUCGUGUCCCACAUGAGUGAGACCAUAUUGUGUUUGUCUUUUUGUGCUUAGCCUAUUUCCUUUGAUAUGAUCAUCUCCAGUGCCAGCAGAUCACUAAAAAUUAUAGAAUACCAUUCUCCUUUAUGCCUGAAAGAACCUAGCGUGUUUCUUACAUCUAAAGCAGUGCUUUCCAGCCUUCCUGAUGCUGCGCUUCUUUUAGUUCCUUGUGUUGUGAACUCCCAGACAGAAAAUUAUUUUCAUUGCUACUUCACAACCAUAAGUUUGCUACUGUGAUGAAUCAUAAUGUAAAUAUGUCCACUUUCUGAUAGUGUAGGAUGACCCCUGUGAUGGAGUCAUUUGACCCCUAAAGGGGUCACAACAAACAGUUUGAAAGCCACUGAACUGAAUUAGACUAAAACCCAAAACCCAAAACAGUAGAUAAGGUUCAGUAGAUAUAAGCAUGCAUAUCGCUAAAAAGAAGCACUCAAAUAACCAAGAAGUCUGUGCUCGAAUGCUCAGAGUCAUCAAUUGCAGAAACAUGCAAACCCAUAUCCCAGCAAGGUAACUCCUCCCUCAUUCCAGUUAGGAAGACUGUUAUCAAGAAAGGCUAGUUUUAUCACUGACUGGCUAUAGGGUAGGUAUCAGAUUUCCUUUGUACAUUGUGUAUGGGGAUAUAAAUUAAUCUAAUAUUAUAGAAAACAGCAAAAAAAAAAAAAGCCCCCAACACGCUGAAUUGUCUGAUAACCCAAGCAAUCCUCUAGUAGGUCUGCAUAUAAAGAAAAUGGUGAUGCCCCUGUCUCUCUCUCUCUCUCUCUCUCUCUCUCUCUCACACACACACACACACACACACACACACACACACACACACACACACACACACACACACCCCUGGCCUUCCAUAUUCUCUGCAGUGAUCAAUAAUACAAGGUUAGAAAGACUUGAGUAGCCCUCAACUGAUGAGUGGAAAAGAGAAUGUGGUAGACACCUACCUGCCUGGGACACUGCUCAUCCAUAUAAAAGCCUAAUGAGAGAUCGAUUCCAGUUGUUGAGAUUCCUGAUGGAUCACUGCCACACUGAGGCCAAUUAACAAAAGAAAAGGUCUCAAGAGGAGUAAGAUUCUACAGACAGAUGUUAACCUGCCAAGCUUCGUGUUCUUAACGAGUUUCGUGAGCUGAACUAGUUCAUUCUAAUUUGUAACUUAGAAUAAAGUAAAUCCAAAUUAGAAAGCAAGCGGCUAAAACAUGGACUAGUGAUAAUGGCAGUUGAGAGUGAGUCUCAUAUGUUGCUGGAAACAUAUCUGAACUCUAAUAGCCAACAUAAUGCACAAUAGUUCAUUUUCUUGGUAAAAGACAUCCUUGAGACCUGCUCAACAUGUGGGUCAACAUGUGGGUCACGGACCUUCGACCCUUUCACAGGGUCACAUAUCAUGUUUACACUAUGAUUCAUAACAGUAGCAAAAUUACAGUUACGAAGUUGCAACAAUAGUAUUAUGGUUGGGGGUCACCUCAACAUGAGGAAGUGUAUUAAAGUGUUCCAGCUUUAGUAAAGUUGAGAACCAUGGUGCUAGACACAUUUAGUAAUAUUCAAGAACCAUGAGGCUGGUAUCUGUGUUGAUAUAGUUAAUUCCGUCAUUAGAAUUAAGCAGUUCAACUAUAAUUCAACCAAUAACUGAUGUGUUAAUCACAUACAACAUGCAGUGUGUCAGCGGUGCUUUGAUAUGUUAUGUAAAUGGUAAGGCACAGGGAGUAGUGGUCAGAACUCACACAUUCACCCUUUGCUACUGUAGACAGCAGGUGUUUGAGCCUUGCCUAUCAGCUGGGUGUGACGAUAUGUUAAAUUGGUUUCUAAUUUAAAUCAUUUCAACAUCUUUUGGUAAGAUUAGAGCUUCAGCUGUUAAAUUAAUGAGUGAAUAAGUUAAUUCAGAAAGCAAAGCUAAAAGCCAAAGACCUGUGGAAAGACUCUUCCUUCCCAUUUUUCAUCUUCUUUAUGUUCACCUGCUCUCUUCUGUUCUCUUUCCAAUGCUCUCCCACUCGAGCUGGGGCUGGAUUUUCCAUGGUCGGGGCUCCGCGGUGCAUCUCUCCCAGGAACCUGUGUAAGUAAUAGGCAUAGAUCUUGUUUCCUUGGACAAUUUUGCUCUGUUUUCAAAAUAGGCAGUGAUAGAAGUUCUAGUGUACUCAUCUUGGGACUGUGAUGAAUAUUUUAACUGAGUAACUGGUGUAGUGAAACAAUAAGCUCAGUCAAUUAAAGGAUGGGGGUGUUGUAUCCCAAAUAGUAUAUUCUUGUUACAUCUGUCUAUGUAUCUUUAUCUAUCUAUCUAUCUAUCUAUCUAUCUAUCUAUCUAUCUAUCUAUCUAUCUAGACUAUCUAUUAUUAUAGAUACUAUAUAUAUUACAAUACAAGUAAUUUAAAUAUAAUAUAAUAUAAUUUAAAUAUAUAUGAAUACACACAGACAGACACACAGACACACAGACACACAGAGUCACACGUGUGACCUUGUCUACUUUAAUGUCAAUUUGUCAGAAGCACAUUACUAAUUGUUCCAUGUAUAUGGUACUGAGGAAAGUCAUUGAGAAAUUGAUUUUCUAGC